UUGCAAACUUGAUCACUAGCUCUUCAUGAUGUUGCAGAAGCAAGGGAACAUGUUUCCUAAAGUAAACAUGGUCAUAGAACUAUGUUAGCCUUAGAAAUCAAAUUAUUUGGUCUGUUAAACUUCCUUA